ACCUGGGUUCGAAUCCUCUGGGAUUCCGGAGACCGCCCGUGACAAAAAAAAAAAAAAAACAUUUUUAUCCGCCAAAAAAAAAUUAUAUUUUACAUCAUAUAAAGUUUAUAUUAUAAACAUAGUGUAUCAUUUUAUUUUUGGAAUCGUAUAAAUUUAUACGUCAAGAAAAAAUUAUGGUUAUACAUUAGCCAAAAUAACACCCGUUAGUCAGGAAUUUUUAAAAUUAUUUAUCUAAAAUUACAUCAUUACAAUUUAUUUUAUGGGCAAAUCUCCAAAAUAACACAUUUCUAAGUUUAUAUCACAAAAAUAGCACUCAAAAACUAAAAUGACCAAAAUAGCAUUUUAUCUUUUGAAAAUUUUAAUUUUUUUAUAUUUCAAAAUUUGAAAUCUUAUCCCCAAAACCUCAUUUCUCAACUCUAAAUCCUAAACUCUAAACUCUAAACCCUAAACCCGAAACCUUAAACCCGAAACCCUAAACCAUAAACCAUAAACCAUAAACCCUAAACCCUAAACUCUAAACUCUAAACCCUAAACCCUAAACUCUAAACUCUAAACCCUAAACCCUAAACCCUAAAUUCCACCCUUUAACUCUAAACCCUAAGUUUGUGACUUUUGAUAGAACAUUAA
rnacentral:lncRNA from 1 species